rnacentral:rRNA from 1 species
CAGUCGCCGCGGUAAUACGUAGGGUGCGAGCGUUAUUCGGAAUUACUGGGCGUAAAGCGUGCGCAGGCGGUUAUAUAAGACAGAUGUGAAAUCCCCGGGCUCAACCUGGGACCUGCAUUUGUGACUGUAUAGCUAGAGUACGGUAGAGGGGGAUGGAAUUCCGCGUGUAGCAGUGAAAUGCGUAGAUAUGCGGAGGAACACCGAUGGCGAAGGCAAUCCCCUGGACCUGUACUGACGCUCAUGCACGAAAGCGUGGGGAGCAAACAGGAUUAGAUACCCGCGUAGUCCCUGUCUCUUAUAA